rnacentral:snRNA from 1 species
AUUGCUUCUCAGCUUUUUAGGUAAGAUCAUGUGUAGUAUCUGUUCUUAUCAGUUUAAUGCCUAUUUUUUUGAGUGAAAUCUUGUUGGCAGCUGGUCACAAGUGGUGUCCCUCAGGGCUCAGUU